rnacentral:rRNA from 1 species
GUGAGGAAUUUUCCGCAAUGGGCGAAAGCCUGACGGAGCAAUGCCGCGUGAAGGAUGAAGGCCUAUGGGUUGUAAACUUCUUUUCUCAGAAAAGAAUUAUGACGGUAUCUGAGGAAUAAGCAUCGGCUAACUCUGUGCCAGCAGCCGCGGUAAGACCGAGGAUGCAAGCGUUAUCCGGAAUGAUUGGGCGUAAAGCGUCUGUAGGUUGUUUAAAAAGUAUUCUGUCAAAGAUUAGGGCUUAACCCUAGAUAGGCAGAAUAAACUUUUAAGCUAGAGUUUGGUAGAGGCAGAGGGAAUACCCGGUGGAGCGGUGAAAUGCGUAGAUAUCGGGAGGAACACCAAAGGCGAAGGCACUCUGCUGGGCCAAUACUAACACUGAGAGACGAAAGCGAGGGGAGCAAAUGGGAUUAGAUACCCUAGUAGUCC